GUCAAAUAAGAAAGGCAUCAAUUAAAUUUAAAAAGGAUUGAGUUAAAAUCAGUUUGUGUCAAGCUGAUAAACAUCUAUCACUUUUCAAAAAUUGGUACUAAAUUAUAAAAAAGCAUUCUGUAGUCAUUUACUGUCUUGCUGUGUGCCAUGCUUCAUCACUUCUGAUAUAUCUUAAAAUAUAUAUCCAGACCCACAGCUGGCAAAAGAGAUUUGCCUGUUAUGAGAGCAAGUGAUUCCACAAAGUGCAAAGGGAUCAGCUGCCAGCCCUUUGUUUACACCCUGGGGCUGACAGCCCAGCUAGCUUUCUGGGGCUGACAGACCAAAGAUGUGUGUCAAAGGCUGUACAACUUGCAGCACAUCAGGACACUCUGACACGUUUUAGGAUCUGAGUAGUGCUGAAAGUGGCAGACAGUGCUUUGAAUAUGAGAAUCUGUGUAUCUACGGGCUAGAGACAGCCCAGUGGAGUCACAGCUCUGUGGGCUCUCAUUGUGCCUGCCUCAGUGUACAUCAUGACUGGGCAGGACCUCACAGACAAAGAGAAGGGACAUAAUGUAAAAACUGCUUGAAGAAAGCUUCCAAAGUGCUGUGUCCAGUGAUGCAAUGGCCUUUCUGGCUCAAGAAAUUGUAAACUGCAGGUUCUUGUACUCUUUUCAAGUGAAUCUGUCCUGUUCUUGGUACUACACAAUUUUGUAAGGCCCGUGUCACAGGACCUGUACAACCACACAACAAAGAUACUUCUUGUUUGCCAGACUCACGUUGUGACAACCUUCUGUCCGCCCAGCUUGAGUUUGCCUAAAGGGUAUUAGCUUAAGAGUUAUCGUGUCCAGCUGAAAAGUAGGCAGGGUAUACACUUUAUCUUGCCUGCAUUACUCCCAUGUGUUUGUGGUUGAAGUUCAAUCUUUUCUGUUUCUAUAAAGGAAGCUUUAGGUACUCCCAGAAACAAAGCUAAGAAUGAAGUUGGGGGUAGGAGUGGUGGCAGGAGUAGAAGCCUUGGGAAUUAAGGGGUGUUAAUGACUGGAACAGUGGGCCAGGCUCCAGGACUGCUGGGCUGUGUUGCUGACUGAUUGACCUUGACCAAGUCACCAGUAUCUCUCUGAAGGAAGCUGUGUCUUAUGUGUAAUAGUUGAAGUAGUCCUUGCACAUGACACUGACUCUUUAAUCGCAGUGUUUCUCUUACUGCUGUAAUUUCUGGAUGGUAUGCUGGUUUGCCGUCAUUGUCAGCUCAUACAAAGAUCUGACACUGUGAAGCAUAGAAUCAUACAAUGGUUUUGGUUGGAAGGGACCUUAAAGACCAUCCAGUUCCAACCUCCCUGCCAUGGGCAGGGACGCCUUCCACUAUAGCAGGUUGCUCAAAGCCCUAUCCAACUGGAAUCUUGGAGGUGGCCUGCAUGGUUGGGAGAUUUCUGCAUGGAAGCUGCUCUGUAUACAAAAAAAUAAUAAUUACGAAUUUAAGUCUAUCAUGUGAACAAGUUCUCCUUAUGAGGUGUCUCCCUACAUGCAAAACUAUGUUGACCUAUACUGUGUGGGAGGGCAGAUGAGAAGAAAUCAUAAUCAUCACUUUUGCCUUAGAAAUUUGUCUUUUGUGAAUAAUAGAGUCCAUGCCACACAGCCCCAAAGACUCUGUAGUCUGCAAAAUAGCUUUUCAGUUCACACUAUCUCUAGCCAGGGCUUGCUCCAUGGAUGCUGCAGUGGCUGGAGGAGGAGUGUGGAGGUUAGUUAGUUCACUGGGAGCAAUGCAGGGCCAAAACUGGAAAGGUUUCUGCUUUCUCCUUGUGUCCUCGUGUUCUCAGGGCAGGCAGAUCUUAGUUGUUUCUUUCCCACUAUUCCUGUGCUUUUAAGCAGCAUUAGACAUUUUCUUCCAGCUCCUAUACAGUGCUUGGAUUUCUACCUGCUUUUAGCUAAUAAUUCCAGAAAGUAUUAAAAGAUGUCAUGUGGGUUUUCUUAGGUCUGUAAGAAAGAUACAUGGCUAUGUAAUGUGAUCCUAUUCUUGUGUCCCACAGUUCUGUAACAUGUAUUCAAGCUCUUCUACUUGCUAAAUGGGUAAUUUUGUUUUGAUCUUCCUCCCAACUCUGCUUAAAAACCAGAGCGUAGCCAGAAUGCUGCAGCAAACAAACAGGACACACAGUCCAUUUACCAAACAUGUCCCUAAAUUACUGCAAAGGAUUCUGAUUUUUCAGCUUCUUGGAAAAUGUUCCAGUCUGUGUGUUGACACCGCUUGGGGAGCACUCAGCUGGGAGAACAACGACAAAAUGUGCCUCAUUUUAGCCAGGCCAGAACUGGCUAGGAUCCAUUGUGCGUUCUUAAUAUUCAGCAUUUGUUCCAAAUAGUCCUUACAACCACUGGCAUAUGUCAAAUCUAGGGCUGCUGAUUGCUGCUCCGUAUGAACUGAAGGGCACCAAAAGAAAGUUAGUGUGUGCGCACAGUGCUCUGACAUUGGAGAAUUCUCUGUGCUUCUGGGUAACAGUAACUUUCUUUUCCACGAGUGGAGUCCAAACCAAGCGAGUCAAGUGUUUGUAUAUCAUGUAAUUUUCAUAUGGGAAAUGUGUUUUUUGUAAGUCCUCUGAAUAAACUUCAUCUUUACUUUUACUUACCAUGCAAGCCUAUUUUUGGUUAAAAACAUGGGCAGUUUAGGGUGUGGUUCCAUUUAGUUUGGGAAUAGCUGUGCCUGGCUUCAAGUGAUAAGAUGUCUGGAUUUGCCGCAUGUUUUUCACUGCAGAUGGUAUAUUUUCUUUAAGAAAUAAGUACAAGGGAAUUCAAGGUUAAAAAUUCCUAUCUCUGGACCAAGGACAGUUUGAACAGGGACUGGAGAUUAUUUACAGAGAUUAUAAUUUCAUUUUUCAUUUCAACUGGAACUACUGAUGAUUUAGCACAUCUGGGAAACUAAACUUUAAGUUUCUGCAGCCCAUUUGUUUUUUGGCCACUUUCCUGAGCCUGCUGAUUAGUGUCACUGUCACAAGGCAAACAGCAAUCCUGCACUAACUGAACUGUGACUUCUACUUAUAUCAGUUGCUUCUGGAAGUACUGCAUGUGAAAUGAAUUCAAAGCAAUAAAUCUGGGAUCUCUGCAAGCUGUACUACCAGUCCCUAAGCAUGACACUGGAAUUUUGUUUACUUCUGCAAUUUGGACGGUUUUCAUGGACUCAGUGAAGAUCAACUGUUAAAAAUAUUCAAAUAAGUGUAGCAGUUUUGAGUUGUACUAUAUUGCCCUGAUGCUAUGCUGACUUGAGUCACUAGGAAAAAUUCUACCUGACUCUUGAAAGGUCUGUAGAUCAGGUUCUAGGCAACCUUGCUCCUGUAAGUCUUGUUAGUUCUCAUUUUAUACACUUUUGCUCAUAAAAUUAGUUAUCUCAACCAUUGGAACUGUCUCAGAAAGAUGGGAUGAGCUCUCAGAAAGCUUGUGAGUGCUGCUCUUUGACUACCAGUUAUAAAGAAGAAAUUUAGCUCAGCCUAGCCAUUGGCAGACACAAUGGAGAACAUGCUUGAGAGAUAUGAUAGGUCUACGGAGAACAAUAGGGAGACAAUUAGAAGAAUGUCAGAACUCAGGGAUUUGGAGGAUGGAGGAGGACUUAAACAUAACAAGUUUCACAGGGCUUUUAUCACAGAUUGGGACUUCACUGAAUUACAGACAUUCCCAGGUCUUUGCUCUUUCUUCACAAGAUCCCUUUAAAGCCUGCUGCUGUUCACUCUGGUUGCUCUACCUGCCUCAUAUGUACUCUCCAACCAAUGUCACAAGCACUACAAGAAACUGUUGCUUGUACCAUUGAUAACUGGUUUCCUGGAUUUCACUGGGAGAUCCGCUUUCUGCAAAGAGGAUUCUGCAUCUGAACAUAAACCAUCACAUAAGGUACUAGUACAACAUCCCCAAGUACUGUGCCAUCUUCCGGGCUGACUGCAUAUUGCCAAUUGCCAAACAUUAGUAUUCCAGCAUAAAGACCAAAACUUCUCUGUGAAUACCAUUAGAAUUGGGUCACUAACAGAAGGUGCGUGACACUUUAACAUGCAGAACAACUAAAGCCAUUUCCUCUGUCUCAUACAGAGCAGAAAUACCGAGAGUGAAGAUUAUGUGCAUAGCGUGAGCAGAAUGACGGAUGAGAAGCCUUAGUGAUAUACUUGUUUGAUGGCAUUAGUGAUGCAGUUCUGCCUUGGAAACAGUGAAAAUAGGUGAUCAGCUGGGUUUUGUACCGCACUGGUUUUGCUAAAUGUUUGAAUUUCAUAGGAAUUCAGAUGAUUACUUAAAAAUUUCAUUUUAUAGAGGAAAUUCUCUUGCUUAGCAGCAUCCUAAUAACAUUACUAUUUAGCAUUUUCUAUUCUGUUUGGAAUAAAGAGGUUUUAACCUCACUGCUUCAAGCUGUAUAUCUCUAGUCCAGAUCCAGGAAUUAUUGCUGUAGUGGUGUGCUCAGCAGUCAUAAAAGUGCUGCAGAUGGAUUUAUGUAAUUUCAGAAAAUGUUAUGGAAUAAGCUGGACUAGACUCUUCAUUCUGCCUUACCAAGGUCCCUUUAAACCAGCUAGAGAAGAAUAGAAGGGAACUCAUCCUGGAUGGCAUCGUUCCAGCUACCUUCUGAAUCAGAAGGGCAUGCUGAGACCUUUAUAUUGAGAAGAUGGAAGGUGGAAGCCAGGGAAAGGAAGUAUCUGAAACCGCAAAGACAAACAGAAUUAAACUGAGUAUUAGCUGAAUAUCAGCCACUGAGCUACACAGGCUCUCUGUGGUCCCCUGCUUUUGCUCUGUGUUAGUCAGUCUGGAUAAUAAAAGAAUCAGCCCCUUUGUAAGCCUUUAUUAAUUACUCUUGUAUCUUUUUUGGAUGUGACAGAAUAUUUCUGGAGACAAACACCACGAGCAUAGGCAUGGCAUUGCACCACGCUCUGCCUCAUACCCCUUUUCCCUGCCAAGCCUGUCAUGAUUUGUUCACUUUUAUUUAAAACUGAAAAAAAAAAAAAGUUCAGAAAACUAGCUUAUAUGGAAAAGAAAAAUCAGGUCACUCAAAUUGGUCUGCAGAUUCAGGUCAUAUUCAGUGACGAGUUUAAAUGGAAAAAUAUGGGAUAAUCAGUAAAAUGAGGAGUAUUUUUCCUAUUCCUUCAACAUGAAACCUCCCAGUUCUUUUGUUUCAAAAAUAUUGGAAAGGCAUCCCAAGUCCAAAAUACAAACCAAGGAUUAAACAGAGAAGGAAAUAAUCCAGAAGCAACCAAAUACAACCUUUCCACAAGUCAAACGUCCUAUUAACCGUCAAAACAGCUUUUUGAUUUGGAGUGAUCAAAAAGAUUUUAAAACUGUUUUGAGUAAAGUACUGAACCAGAAGCAAUUAUUUGCAAUUCUAUCUAAAGCUAACAAAUGAAGAUUUGUUUUCAAUGUGUUUCAAAGGCAGGUAGUGUUAUUCAAAUUCCCAUUGUGACUUUUCUUCCCGUAUUCAUGAAUUCUUUUCUGGCACACGCAGCGAACAGGUGUGAGCCAGCACGAGGUGGCCCACAGGCCAUAACCAGCAAGUAACUAAUUGGUAUCUAUGUUGCAACAAAGCAGAGAUUCAGCCAAAUUAUGAUGAGGCACUGUGCCAUCCUAAUAGAAUCACAUCAUCAUGGAUGCCAAAAUUCCGUAAAUUUGCAUUAUUUACAUUUAGUUAGGGUAGGAUUCCCAGCUGGGAAAUUCCACAUGGUUGUCCAUCUCUAUCAUAUACAAUUACAAUGGAAAAAGAUUUCUGUGACUAAUCCAGCAUCCUGAAAUAGUUUUCAGCAAGAAUUUAAGUAUUUUAAGUACUUGAAAAUGCUCCUACUCAUCCUCUUCAAUAAAUAUGCUGAAAGUAUGUUUUUGUUGUCUACAUUUGUACAUGAUGAAUUAAAAAAAUAUAUAAAAUCAGAUUUCCUGGUUGAAGAUGUGUAAGCCCUUCCAGCUAGGUAAAAAGGGAAAAGGAAUUGUUUUUUCUGCAACAGUAGCAAGGUUCCCAACUACGUAACAGCAGGGAAACAAAGACAACUUUGAAGCUGCUUUUGUGAAGAACGAAUGCAGAAACUGGUAACUUAUACCCUCGGGAAAUAAUUUGCAAAGACAAAAAUGCCGAGAGGUUGUGAAUUACUGAGAUGAAACCAAGAUGAUGAUAUAUGCUCUGAUUGCUCCUUGAGGUAAUGAAUCUCUGUAGGUUUGUCUUUUCCACCAAGACGGCGAACUACAUCUUAAUCUGCGCCAUGAAGCAGCGGGCCGAGACGCUCGAUGGCCCUGCUGGUAAAUGCUUCCCCGCUGCGUGGCUGGUGGGUGUUCCACAGGGGGCCGGGGGCUGCCCGGAGAGCUGGGGCAUGGCUCCUCUCCUGCCGCCUCUCGCCCAGGAGCUGGCGGGCCUGGCAGGCCUCUUGGGGCUCCCCGGGUGCUACCGCCUGCUGGGAAGGGUCCCACUCCCCGUAGGUUUUCAGGGGCUGUUUGUUGCCGGUUGCUGCCGGACCCCUGAGCUGAUGGCGGGCCGUGGCAGCGGGGUCGGAAGCUGUGCCCUCGGCCGCGGGAGGCACUGCUGCACCGCGCGCCGCGGCGCCUCCUCCCGCCACCGCGGCGAGGCGGCCCUGCUCCUGCCGCCCGGCCUGGGAGCGGCGCCGCUGCAGCCCGGCAGCCCCACCGGGGGCCGCGCCCCGCCACGGUUUGUCGCCCCGGCGGUGCGGCCGCCGCUGCUGUCCCAGGGUGCCUCGCGCC